CGCCGGGCGGCCCCUGCGCAGCGCCAGCAGCGCGUACUGCACCAGAGAGCGCCAGGAUCCCCAGAGAUGCUGAUGCUGAUUCCCAGGGAUGCGCGCUUCUCCCGGCAGCACAAACCCCUUGGACAAAUGCUUGGGGACACUCAGACCAGCUGGCUUUGGGAAUGUGGGACAUCAGAAAGAAGAAAAGACUUGCCACCUGCCUGCAGAGCCUGCAAACCCCAGCAUGGUCUCUUCCUUCCAGCAGAAGCAUCCCUGGAUGUCAGUAAUCCCAGCAGGUUUUUAACACCAGUGGACUUCACUGGGGAGAUGCACGUGCCUGGGUGAGAGCCUGAGCCCUCAACUAUCAGCUCAAGCUGAUGACUACAACCACGACACUGCAGAGCUGAAUCCAUCCCAGAUCCUGGACUGACAAGACAUUAAUAAAUUGUUAAGGGUUUAUCAAAACUGCAGAGGUAAUUUAAAGCAAAUUCUUUGUCAGCAGAAACUGACUUUCAAUGUACUCUUUCAACAUAUGCAAAAUGAAAGUGAAAUAAAAGUUGUGUGUGUUGCUUCAUUGCAA